rnacentral:rRNA from 1 species
AAUGGUCGCAAGACUGAUCCAGCCAUGCCGCGUGCAGGAUGAACGAUCUAUGAUCUGUAAACUGCUUUUGUUCGGGAAUAAACCCCUUCACGUGUGGAGGGCUGAAUGUACCGAAAGAAUAAGGGUCGGCUAACUUCGUGCCAGCAGCCGCGGUAAGACGAAGGACCCAAGCGUUAUCCGGAUUUAUUGGGUUUAAAGGGUGCGUAGGCGGGUUGUUAAGUCAGUGGUGAAAGCCUAGAGCUUAACUCUAGAAUUGCCAUUGAUACUGACGAUCUUGAGGAUAGUUGAGGUGGGCGGAAUGUAUCAUGUAGCGGUGAAAUGCUUAGAGAUGAUACAGAACACCGAUUGCGAAGGCAGCUCACUAAGCUAUUUCUGACGCUGAGGCACGAAAGCGUGGGGAUCAAA